rnacentral:rRNA from 1 species
AUUGAACGCUGGCGGCAUGCCUUACACAUGCAAGUCGAACGGUAACGGGCCUUCGGGCGCCGACGAGUGGCGAACGGGUGAGUAAUGCAUCGGAACGUACCUUUCAGUGGGGGAUAACGUAGCGAAAGUUACGCUAAUACCGCAUAUUCUGUGAGCAGGAAAGCAGGGGAUCGCAAGACCUUGCGCUGAUUGAGCGGCCGAUGUCAGAUUAGCUAGUUGGUGAGGUAAAGGCUCACCAAGGCGACGAUCUGUAGCGGGUCUGAGAGGAUGAUCCGCCACACUGGAACUGAGACACGGUCCAGACUCCUACGGGAGGCAGCAGUGGGGAAUUUGGACAAUGGGGGCAACCCUGAUCCAGCCAUGCCGCGUGAGUGAAGAAGGCCUUCGGGUU